GAUGAACGCUGGCGGCGUGCCUAAUACAUGCAAGUCGAGCGAAGCGGGGACGGGUGAGUAACACGUGGAUACCCUCCUAUAAGACUGGGAUAACUUCUGGCAACCGGAGCUAAACCGGAUACUUAUCGAUGGAUCCUCGCUGCAUUAGCUAGUUGGUAAGGUAACGGCUUACCAAGGCAACGAUGCAUAGCCGACCUGCGAGGGGGAUCGGACACACUGGAACUGAGACACGGUCCAGACUCCUACGGGAGGGAGCAGUGGGGAAUGUUCCGCAAUGGACGAAAGUCGGACGGAGCAACGCCGCGUGAGGGAUGACGGCCUUCGGGUUGGAAAGCUCUGUUAAUCGGGACGCGGUACCGGAAUAGAAAGCCACGGCUAACUACGUGCCAGCCGCCGCGGUAAUAC
rnacentral:rRNA from 1 species